rnacentral:rRNA from 1 species
UACGAAGGGUGCAAGCGUUGUUCGGAAUUAUUGGGCGUAAAGCGCGCGUAGGCGGGCUUGUAAGUCGAUUGUGAAAUCCCUGGGCUCAACCUAGGAAUUGCAGUCGAAACUGCAAGUCUUGAAUGCUUGAGAGGAUGGCGGAAUUCCUGGUGUAGUAGUGAAAUACGUAGAUAUCAGGAGGAACACCGGAGGCGAAGGCGGCUAUCUGGCAAUGCAUUGACGCUGAGGCGCGAAAGCGUGGGGAUCAAACAGG